AGAGCGAACGCUGGCGGCAGGCUUAACACAUGCAAGUCGAGCGGGCACUUCGGUGUCAGCGGCAGACGGGUGAGUAACGCGUGGGAACAUACCUUUUGGUUCGGAACAACACAGGGAAACUUGUGCUAAUACCGGAUAAGCCCUUACGGGGAAAGAUUUAUCGCCGAAAGAUUGGCCCGCGUCUGAUUAGCUUGUUGGUGAGGUAACGGCUCACCAAGGCGACGAUCAGUAGCUGGUCUGAGAGGAUGAUCAGCCACAUUGGGACUGAGACACGGCCCAAACUCCUACGGGAGGCAGCAGUGGGGAAUAUUGGACAAUGGGGGCAACCCUGAUCCAGCCAUGCCGCGUGAGUGAUGAAGGCCCUAGGGUUGUAAAGCUCUUUUAACGGGGAAGAUAAUGACGGUACCCGUAGAAUAAGCCCCGGCUAACUUCGUGCCAGCAGCCGC
rnacentral:rRNA from 1 species